GGGGGUAUAGCUCAGUGGUAGAGUGUGUGUUUAGUACACUCAAGGUCCUGAGUUCAAUCCCUAGUACCUUGU
rnacentral:tRNA from 1 species